rnacentral:rRNA from 1 species
GACGGAGGAUGCAAGCGUUAUCCGGAAUGAUUGGGCGUAAAGCGUCCGCAGGUGGCAGUUCAAGUCUGCUGUCAAAGACCGGGGCUUAACUUCGGAAAGGCAGUGGAAACUGAACAGCUAGAGUAUGGUAGGGGCAGAGGGAAUUCCUGGUGUAGCGGUGAAAUGCGUAGAGAUCAGGAAGAAUAUCGGUGGCGAAGGCAGCUCUCUGGGACGGUACUGACGCUGAGACGCGAAAGCGUGGGGAGCGAACAGG